rnacentral:rRNA from 1 species
GGUAGUCUCGCACAGAUGCAUAUCAAUAAGCGGAGGAAAAGAAACUAACAAGGAUUCCCCUAGUAACGGCGAGUGAAGCGGGAAGAGCUCAAAUUUGAAAUCUUAAAGGGUUUCCCUUUACGAAUUGUAGUUUAAAGGAAGUGUUUUCUGUUGAGGUUUUGGUAAAAGUUCUUUGGAAUAGGACAUCAUAGAGGGUGAGAAUCCCGUAUUUGACCUUUACUUUCAACUUUGUGAUACACUUUCAAAGAGUCGGAUUGUUUGGGAAUGCAGUCCAAAAUGGGUGGUAAAUUUCAUCUAAAGCUAAAUAUUGGCGAGAGACCGAUAGCGAACAAGUACCGUGAGGGAAAGAUGAAAAGAACUUUGAAAAGAGAGUUAAACAGUACGUGAAAUUGUCAAAAGGGAAGCGUUUGACACCAGUGUUGUUUUUCUGAAAAUCAAUUAAAGAACUGUUUAUGCUAAGCUGUUUAGACUUUAUCAGCUAUCUGUUUAGUUUUGAGCUUUUCUUUAAUGCACUUUUCAGUUAACAAGUCAACAUCAAUUUCUUUUGCUGUAAAAAAGCUUGAGGAAGGUGGCUUGAGAUUCGUCUUAAGUGUUUAUAGCCUCUUGCCUAUGCAGUCGGGAGAGAUUGAGGUCUGCAGCGUAGAUCCUUCGGGGCUAAAUGCAUUUGUGCUAAGUUAUAGCAUUUUAUAGACAACUUGUUGGACUAUGAUUUGUCUUGUAGCUUACUCGCUCUAUGCUAUUUUACCUACGCUUAGGAUGUUGAUCUGUAGUGCGUGCGC